GUGGUCGGCCAGAUCCACCGGAUCCGGCAGCCUGGAGACGCGCUAGGACCCGGAAGGCUAGUGGGCUGGCGGCGCGUCAGAUCCCUAGCUGAGCUGGGGGCCACUGGCCAGAGCCGACCCCAGGAGUGAGAGAGGCAGGGACACGCGUGAGUUCCGGCGACCUGCAGCGGGCAAACCCCGUACCUUCCCAGCAUCCGCUCAGCAACCCACGUGCAUCCAGGCUGGUUAAUGUCAGUGAGCCACCUCCGCGCCUUGGCCAUCCUGGGGUCCCGAGAAUCAGAAGUCCCAGACAAAUGCCCAAACUACAUUCCUGCCUGUUUGAAAGCGUAAAUUGCAAAGCACAAAUCCAGAGAUGGGGUCUUGCCAUGUUGCCCAGGCUGGUCUCAGACACCUGCCCUCAAGUCCUCAAGACAUCCUCCUACCUCAGCAUCCCAAAGUGCUGGGAUUACAGUCAUGAGCCACUGCACCCAGCUAUAUCCCUGUUUCUUGAGGAAGGAUAAAUUAGCCAUUCUUGAAUCAGGAAGACAUUGCUACCAGAGACCUCAACUGGAGGAUACUGAGGAACCCUCCAGAAGCAGAAAACUGCAGGAAGGGGACAACAUCCACUGAAGACCAUAGGAACAAGAUAAUGACUGCAUGAAGACAGCCCAAGACCUGAGGACCAUAGAAGAUAAGGAGCUGGAGCUACGUGUUUGUCACACUUCAAUCUGCAUGCAGCCUUGUCAUAAUUUUUCUAGAUAUUUUCUUUCAUCUUUUUUGGUUUAUGGUUUGCUUUGUUGACAGACAGCAUGUUACCUCAACUAGAGUAACUAUAAGCAAUGAUUUCUUAGAGCCAGAUAGAACCGGCUUAUGAGAAUCAAUUGUUAAAUUGUCAGGAAUCUUACCAGAUGGUUGUGAAACCACUGAUGGCUUGAAAUCAGUCUACAGGAACAUGCACACAAUGGAAAUCAGAAAACAGUUUUAUUUGUUCUUACAAUGUGUGUCUGGAAAAUGUUACUGCCAGUGUUCUAUGUUCCAAAGUGAUUUGAAGUAAUCAUUUCCCCUGUGUGAUUAGGUUUUAUAUUCAGGUCUGUUCGUUUGUUUAUUUUUGUGUUCAAUUGUUUCUGUUUGUGUUUAAUUUGAUUUUUUCCCAUUUGACUUAAUUUUGGUUUUUGAAUAUGUGAGUCAUUUACGUGAUUGAAAAAUAAAAACUGUAUAAAGAAAGAUACUCAGAGAGUUCUUGCUCUCACCCCUGUUCCCUAUUCCCAUCUCACCCAUCGUUCAGAAGUAGCCAUUUCCAUUUUCAACAAUUUCUUGUUUAUUAUUUCUUUGAAAAAAAUAAAUACAUAUGCAUAAA